AUAACGACUCUCGGCAACGGAUAUCUCGGCUCUCGCAUCGAUGAAGAACGUAGCGAAAUGCGAUACUUGGUGUGAAUUGCAGAAUCCCGUGAACCAUCGAGUCUUUGAACGCAAGUUGCGCCCGAUGACAUCAGGCUGAGGGCACGUCUGCCUGGGCGUCACGC
rnacentral:rRNA from 1 species